GUGUGGAAAGGGUGCCCCACCCCUGGUGUAUGCUCUACACGGGGCUACCCUAGAUGUCGAUGAUAGAAACUUAAAGUGGGGCAAACAUGACUGUGUGUCUCGUAAAAGCAGACAUGCACACAUUGAGCCUCUUUCGCAUUCAUUUCAUUGGUUACCGAUACCAGUGAGAACUUGCAGUGAUCACAUUUAUGGGUGCCUAGCUUUCUCAGCUUGCCCCGUAUUCCCAAUUCAGGGUUACUUACUCUUUAUCCACAGUUUACUCCUGCAUUAUAUGUACAGAGGGAGCAGUGUUCUUCCCCAACCCAAAACUGGUAUACAUUUACCAGCUCCCCUUUAAGGUAUAUAAUAACGUUACUCAGUGCUUUUUUCUUAGAAGAAAAGCACUGAAUGUACUAUUUUGACCCCUUUCUCCUGCACCUGGAAGUGGUGAAUGGGGUCAGGGACAGUAUUGUACUCCUCUUGGAGGGAGGAUAAUAUGUGUAUGUUUCUACGGAUAGAUGCACUUUGGAUCCCAAUGUAGGUAGCAGAUAGGCAUCGCCAAGACUACAAAAGGACUCUGGGCAGCGAAACGAACCCCUCUGAAGAUUGCUUGGAGCUUUCAAGGUCACCUGGAGCACACAUUCAAAGUUAUGGGGCUUGAGGGGUAGUGAGCAGGAGGGCAACAGCUAGAGAUGUGGACUGCUAGAGCAGAAGCAGGUAAGAAUACACUGCUUCCAUUCAUGAAAGGGAGAGGCUUGCCCUUAACUGGGCAGCACAGAAAAUGUUAACGUUAACAAAACAGUGGGUCUAAUUCCAGUAUCUGCACCUUGCCUCUUUCUACUGGGUGUGGGUGUAAUAUGCUUGCCAUGCCAUUCUUGACUUUUCUAUUAUAAAAAAUGAAUGAAUACCAACCACGGUGUGCAUGUGAUCCUGAUCAGGACUGUGGUGUGUGUGGGAGAGGGAACUGACUCCUUCCCCCCAAGUGGCAGUGGCAUCUGGGGAGGAAAAUAGCAGCUCUGGGGGGUAGGGGGAAAUGUCACAAAGAAAAAAAAUCAAUCCUCACACCCCAUGUGACACAUUCUCUUUCUGGAUCUCUACCCACACAUGCACGCAUGCACAAAAACCAGAGGCUAAUUUUGAAAAGCUUGAGAGAGAGGAUCACGUAGAAAAUAAAUAUCUUUUAUUUAGAGCCUUUCUUUCCCUCAGAACCUGAUAUUAGGUGUAAUUUUGCCUGAUACAGAAGCUUAUUAAAGAAGGGAGUCUUUCUCUCUGUCUCUCUCUCUUCUCCCCCCUCCCUUCUUCCAGUAAUUAACUGUUGCUUUUGGCACCUGUGAGCCUAACAUUUUCUAUUGUGUUUGAGUCUCUAUAGCCUGGAACAUGCUACAGGAUGCUAAAAUCCAAGACAAAACAUUAGCACAGAAGGCUUAAAGUGAUGCCAUAUUCAUUGUUAGCACAAACAAUAACCUUGGAUCCUGCAUUCUGUUCCUCUGAGCUGCACAAUCAUAAUCAUUCAGAUGGUGGUAGUUUGCAUGGAAUUAAGUUUUUUUUUAAAGGGAUGAAGGAUUUGCUUCAUGUUAAUGGGGGACAGUUGGAAGUCAUUUAUGAAAUCAUUUCAAUGUACAGCACGAGCACACUAGCGAUAAAAAGGAAGCCAGCACACAUAAAAGGAACAUCCGUCUCCAAAAUUGGUAUAAUUUUUCUACUAUUUGUGUGUUUACUUCUUAGAGUCUAACAUUUUGGCACAACAUGAACCUAUUAAUUUCUUCAGUGGAAAUAAUACACAGUACAGAACUAUAUACGGAUCGCUGUGCAUGUCAUUUCAACACUCCUACAUAUCCAGAUUUAGAAAUGGAACAGAAAUAAAGCUACCUCAUGAACACCCUAAUGUGUCAAAUUAUCCAGCAAUCCAGAAGUUACAAAGAAGGAUAACUUCUGAAAAUUAGGAUUCAGGUUGAGUACAUAUUUCAAACCCUUGCAAAGUUUGGAGCCGAUCAAAACCAGGAAAGGAGAUAGAGAAGGACUUGGGCUAGAUGUGAUGGUUUAGUGCUGACUUGGGUGAUUUAUGGCAACUGAACAAUGAGAGGAGCUCUUUGUCAACAUUUGCCAAACACUUAACUCCAACUUGUUGUGUCCAUACAGAGCAGGAGUGCCCCACCCGUGAAGUAAGGUGAGGCAGCUGCCUCAGGCAGCAGGGUCCACCUGGGACAGCAGAUCCCAAUGUCAAUAUUUCUCCCCCCCCCCACCUUUGUUUCUGUUGUAGUUCUUCCCUGACCUCUUCUUCCCUGGCAAGGAGGAAAGGAAGCUAUUUCAGGGUCUGCCUCAGGCCCUGGUACAGAGUACAUAAGGAAGUUAAAAAGCCAAAGUCUGGUUUCUAGAAUCACUGUAGUGAUUUUGAUGUGGCACCUAUGUGUUGCUUGACAAAGUAAAUUGUUUGUGGUACUUGUGGUGCAGUUCAUGGGCAGAGUUCAGGCUUGUUGGAUCUACUCUGUCUUUUACUACAAUCUCCCAAGCAGAGCCAGGUGGAAAAACCAAAACCAUAGUGUAAAGAGUAUGAGUUGCUUGUGCGUAAGUUGCCGCCUCUCCUGGCUUUGUUGCCUUGUUAGACCUUUCAGUCUGGACAGCCCUUCACUUCGUGGCUGCCUCAGUCGCUAGCAGAAUCCGUCAGUGGGCGUUUCUUAAACCUUUUCCAACAUAAAAGUUGUUUGACACCCAGUCUCCUCCUACUCUCUCUGCGCGGAAGUCUUCUGCGCAGGGAGGGCGUGGGUAGCGGAGGACCCGUGCUCUCCCUGCUGGUGUCCGGUGAAGAGUCUGGGAGCCCUCUCGCCGAUUCCCCCAUCUGCUCCUCUUUAUUCCUGGUGUUGCGCUGAAUUGCUUCCCCAUCUGCUGAGCUGCCUCUCUCCCUGCUGGGCCCUUCUCCAGCAUCAUUUGAGAGCCUUCCCUCCGCCUCUAGCUCCGAUGUCAGUUCCCUGACACAUAGAGUCAGACUGACAGAAUGGGGAGGCCUCUGAGCACAUUCUGAGCAUAGCUUUCUGUUUCCAGUUCCUGAAAUGGGCUCAUACUCCUUUCACAGCAAAUCUACUCUGGGUUAGCCCCAACUUUCUCCAUUUCAGCAUCCUGACUUAUUUGUUUGUUGCUGUUGUUUGGUGAUCAGAAACAUUUGCUGAUCUGCUGACCUACUGUAAAUGUAUCAGUAGAUUCCACGCUCACUUUGCCCACUCCUGACUUACACGCUUCUGUAACAAAGAAGACUAGUCUUGUUAACCCCACAGUCACUUUCCUAAAUAAUGCCACUCUCACACAGUUCUACUUAACAUCUCCGGGGACUAGGGAUGGAGAAGAGAUCCACCACAGUUCACAUUUAAAGCCAAAUCUAUCGACUCCACACUUUACGAAACAAUAUGAGAACCAAAACUAUACGCAAACCACACAGCCCACGCCAGAUGCUGACCUAACCACACCCUCCACUAUUUUGUGGGUAGCAUGGACACAGAUACACCAUUGCUUUCCAUGCCGUUGUAACUUCAUGCUGCUCUGGGUGAUAUGAGCAGCUCUGCUGAAUAGCUUCCUGUCCUUCCCCACUCCCAGAUUUUGUUUCCAGUUCUGUCAAUAUCUGCUUCAGAUGGAAGCAACCUGUAGUAAACAUGAUCCAGCAUCCUUGUGGCCCUUUUGGAGCAUCAUUAUAAAAUGGCAGCGGCUUUAUAGUAGUUGCUGCACAAAUAGGAUCCUGAGAUAUCUGCCAGCAGUCACCCCUGGCUGGAUUUUUAAAAAGAACAGGCCAUUACUGUAAUGAAGGCUGUGGAGACCUUCAGGCAGUCUUAGAAUAAGACCCAUCCAGACUUGAAAAACACAGGCAAGCUGUUGAUUAGUCUGCUGUAUAGUCCUCGGAGAUCUCAUGCCAGCAGUCAUUGCCCUGUUUAUAGCACAACAGGUUCUUUUCCUCUGAAGAAGUUUAAAGACAAUAAACAAUAGCGGUAUACCUGCAAUAAAACAUUUGCUAUUCUGACUUGUCCACAGUGUUGGUUGCCCCUUGCUGACUACGGUGGGUUACUUCACAGGUUUCUGAUUUCUACCACAGACCAUGUCUCUUACAAUGGUCUCCAGAGGAGUAGCCAUGCUACCUUGUUUCAGCAAACAAACAAAAGUAUUGUGUAGGGAGGGGGGAGAAAUUUGAUUUGGUUCAGACUGAAAGUUGAAUCUCCCUAUUUUUGAACUUUCCAAAACAAUCUGAGAACCGAAAAAAUAGUGGUCCUUAAAAAUUUGCCUUCCUCCGAAUUUUGCAGUGCAGUUUUCCAGCCAAGUAGUAUGUAUUAAAAUGCAUUUGCUGGGAUAAAGCAUCCAUUUUAAAAAAUCAAUAUAUUGGGGAAAAUAUGCUUUGUGAAAGAUGUGCAUUUUAGGAGACAUUCACAUUGAAAUUCUGGUGAAUUUCUAUGAGGAUCUUUAAAGGAAAAGUCAUGAACUGGUGUGAAGAACUGAGGAAUGGAAAAAUGAGGAACUGAGAGAAACCAAAAUUGCUACAUUCGCCCAUUCCUAGCCUUUUGGCAUCUUAAAGAUACAAAAACUCAGAUUUAUAUUUUUAUAAUUUAUUAAGGCCUAUUGGGGCAGCCCCAUAAUCUAAAACAAUGGUAGCCAAUGCGGUGCCAUCGAGAUGUUGUUGGUCUAUCAUCCUUGAUGUUUGGAUACGAUAAAAGUUGCAGUCCAGUAACAUCUGGAAGGAUCACAUUGCUACCUGUGGUCUAAGGCAGCCACACCAGGCCACCUAACAGAAUCCAGGGAGCAGACCUUGUAAACAUCCUAGACAUUAAUCCCCCCCCCAUUACUCUGACAACACUAUUCAGAGCCUAAAAACAUCAGCUGUAACAUUUACCUGCUCAUCUUUCGAUGUAAUAUAUACUAUCAUCUGACAGCAAUGCCCUUCUGUGUUCUACAUAGAAAAUACACACAAUAUUUCAACCUUCCAGGGCAUGCAAUGACUUUCCUUUAAAUUCGCAAUUCUU
rnacentral:lncRNA from 1 species